GCACUCUGGUUUCCCUGCAAAAUGAAUAAAUCUAUUGCCUGUUACUAAAGAUUUUAGUGGUAGGGAAUAUUAAAUGUGUUUGUAAGAUAUUUUUUGUAGUGCCGAAUUCACCAACAAU